UACAGAGGUCUCAAGCGUUGUUCGGAUUCAUUGGGCGUAAAGGGUGCGUAGGUGGCGUCGUAAGUCGGGUGUGAAAUUUCGGAGCUUAACUCCGAAACUGCAUUCGAUACUGCGGUGCUUGAGGACUGGAGAGGAGACUGGAAUUUACGGUGUAGCAGUGAAAUGCGUAGAGAUCGUAAGGAAGACCAGUGGCGAAGGCGGCUACCUGGCCGGGAUACUGACACUGAAGCACGAAAGCGUGGGGAGCGAACAGG
rnacentral:rRNA from 1 species